CACGUAGGGGGCGAGCGUUGUCCGGAAUCAUUGGGCGUAAAGAGCUCGUAGGCGGCUCAGUAAGUCGGGUGUGAAACCCCCAGGCUCAACCUGGGGACGCCACUCGAUACUGCUGUGGCUAGAGUCCAGUAGAGGAGUGUGGAAUUCCCGGUGUAGCGGUGAAAUGCGCAGAUAUCGGGAGGAACACCAACGGCGAAGGCAGCACUCUGGGCUGGAACUGACGCUGAGGAGCGAAAGCGUGGGGAGCAAACAGG
rnacentral:rRNA from 1 species